rfam:Ictidomys tridecemlineatus contig065081, whole genome shotgun sequence.
AGUAUUUGUGUGUGCAUUUGUUUAACUUGUGGACAAAGAUUUAUAUACUGGUGAAAAAAAGUAAACCCUCUUUUGCAACUCAGAACUCGCGAUUCAGUAAGAAUUUUGAUAUAUAUUGAAAAACAUU